CGGGUGAGUAAUGCGUGACCAACCUGCCCCAUGCUCCAGAAUAGCUCUUGGAAACGGGUGGUAAUGCUGGAUGCUCCAACUUGACGCAUGUCUUGUUGGGAAAGUGUUUAGUGGCAUGGGAUGGGGUCGCGUCCUAUCAGCUUGUAGGCGGGGUAAUGGCCCACCUAGGCUUCGACGGGUAGCCGGCCUGAGAGGGCGGACGGCCACAUUGGGACUGAGAUACGGCCCAGACUCCUAGGGAGGCAGCAGGC
rnacentral:rRNA from 1 species